rnacentral:lncRNA from 1 species
CUAAUUAUCACUUUUGGGUUUUGUCUCUUACUUUAGGAUCUGUUGAUCUAGGAAAAGAAUUCUUAAUAGAAAAUGAAGCUUGUGUGUAUGUUUUUCACUGGAUCAAAAGUAAAUAUCAAGGUAAUGAAUCAGGAUAUUAAAUUAAGUGCUACUUGAAGGAUGAAGAUACUACUGAAACUUGUAAUAAAUUUACACAGUCACCAUGGUGCUGGGCAGAGUGAUGCAGCCACAUCCAAGUGGUCCUACAUGAAGCCAGCGGGGGUCUGGAUGGGCUUAUCCAGCCUGGUCUAGUGCAGCAUCUGCUGUGCCUGACCUGAGCUGGAUUGUGCUCUGGUACUGCCUGGCCCAGCAGUUGCAUGAAGAGAAAUUCAAUGAGGCUCUGAAGUGAUCUGCAGGCAGCCAGCCCAGCAGGGCUUGAUGACUGCAGAAGUUUGAGGAUGGCAAGAACUCACUGACAUGAUGCUCCUCCUGAUCUGGUGAAUCCAGCAGGACUGGAGCAACUGAGUCUGCUUUGGUUUGCAAUGAGGGCUGCAGGAAAUGAAGUAGAUUUAUAAGACACUGUCAGCCAUAGGUCAUUUAAGCUGUCACCAUAUUAGUUCUGACACUGACAGUGCCAACACAACCUAAGUUUGGGGGUUUUUUUAUUUUUUAUUGAGUAGAUGCUUGGCUUGGGAAAGAUAAAGCAAGCAACAGAUAAGCCUUGGUGCAGGGGCUAUUUUUCUUCCCUUUCCUUAACCAAAAAACUCCAAACCAAACCAUGUCUCUCCAGAAAUCCAAGAUAAAAUCUGCUUAGGCAAAAAGAUAUUAUGCUGAUAAAGCAGAGUGCUUGAAAGAAAGGUGUAUUCAUUAUCUUUAGAACAGAUGGGGAUCAGCAGGAAAGUUUUAAUGGACUACAAAACCUGUAAAGUUUUUUGAAUUCGUGAUUAUACCGUCUUGUAAAACUCAUAAUUGCCUCAAAGAGUAAUGAGUGGGCCUAAAACACAUUCACAUCAGUAGAAAUGUGCACUGAAUUUAAUACACCCUGAGUCAGAAUUAACUUGGAUAUGUUGAAUUUUAAUGUUAAACGAUCCUUCUCAUAAAACGCUUCAAAAGCAGAAAGCUGAAUUCUGAAGAGAAAAAGGCAUAGAAACAAAGCAGGUCUCUGGUAGCUAUUAAUUUGUGAGACAGCACUUAGAGAAUACUUCCUUGUAGACUCACAUUGAAAACAAAGUGAAAAAAAUGGACUCGAAGUUGCAGGGCUGCAAUGUAAUGUGUGCAAUGAUUCAUGCGUAUUGUUAUGAAGGUGCUGGAAUAAAAUAAAGGAACUGAAUGUUCUCA